UACGUAGGGUGCAAGCGUUGUCCGGAAUUAUUGGGCGUAAAGAGCUCGUAGGCGGUUUGUUGCGUCGGCUGUGAAAUCCCGAGGCUCAACCUCGGGUCUGCAGUCGAUACGAGCAAACUAGAGUGUUGCAGGGGAGACUGGAAUUCCUGGUGUAGCGGUGAAAUGCGCAGAUAUCAGGAGGAACACCGGUGGCGAAGGCGGGUCUCUGGGGCAACAACUGACGCUGAGGAGCGAAAGCCGUGGGGGA
rnacentral:rRNA from 1 species